rnacentral:rRNA from 1 species
AACGAACGCUGGCGGCAGGCUUAACACAUGCAAGUCGAACGCCCCGCAAGGGGAGUGGCAGACGGGUGAGUAACGCGUGGGAAUCUACCCAUCUCUACGGAAUAACUCAGGGAAACUUGUGCUAAUACCGUAUACGCCCUUCGGGGGAAAGAUUUAUCGGAGAUGGAUGAGCCCGCGUUGGAUUAGCUAGUUGGUGGGGUAAAGGCCUACCAAGGCGACGAUCCAUAGCUGGUCUGAGAGGAUGAUCAGCCACAUUGGGACUGAGACACGGCCCAAACUCCUACGGGAGGCAGCAGUGGGGAAUAUUGGACAAUGGGCGCAAGCCUGAUCCAGCCAUGCCGCGUGAGUGAUGAAGGCCCUAGGGUUGUAAAGCUCUUUCACCGAUGAAGAUAAUGACUGUAGUCGGAGAAGAAGCCCCGGCUAACUUCGUGCCAGCCGCCGCGGUAAUAC